rnacentral:rRNA from 1 species
AGAGUUUGAUCAUGGCUCAGAAUCAACGCUGGCGGCGUGCCUGACACAUGCAAGUCGAACGAGAAAGUGGAGCAAUCCAUGAGUAAAGUGGCGCACGGGUGAGUAACACGUGACUAACCUACCCUUGAGUGGGGGAUAACCUAGGGAAACCUGGGCUAAUACCGCAUAAUACCUACGGGUCAAAGGAGCAAUUCGCUCGAGGAGGGGGUCGCGGCCGAUUAGUUAGUUGGCGGGGUAAUGGCCCACCAAGACUAUGAUCGGUAUCCGGCCUGAGAGGGCGCACGGACACACUGGAACUGAAACACGGUCCAGACUCCUACGGGAGGCAGCAGUGGGGAAUUUUGCGCAAUGGGGGAAACCCUGACGCAGCAACGCCGCGUGGAGGAUGAAGUCCUUCGGGACGUAAACUCCUUUCGAUCGGGACGAUUAUGACGGUACCGGAAGAAGAAGCCCCGGCUAACUUCGUGCCAGCAGCCGCGGUAAUACGAGGGGGGCGAGCGUUGUUCGGAAUUAUUGGGCGUAAAGGGUGCGUAGGUGGUUUGGUAAGUCUUGUGUGAAAUCUCUGGGCUCAACUCAGAGUCUGCACGAGAAACUGCCGGGCUUGAGUAUGGGAGAGGUGAGUGGAAUUCCUGGUGUAGCGGUGAAAUGCGUAGAUAUCAGGAGGAACACCUGUGGCGAAAGCGGCUCACUGGACCAUAACUGACGCUGAUGCACGAAAGCUAGGGGAGCAAACAGGAUUAGAUACCCUGGUAGUCCUAGCCCUAAACGAUGACUGCUUGGUGUGACGGGUACCCAAUCCCGCCGUGCCGUAGCUAACGCGUUAGCAGUCCGCCUGGGGAGUACGUCGCAGCUGAAACUCAAAGAUGACGGGGCCCGCACAGCGUGAGCAUGUGUUUAAUCGACGCAACGCGAGAACUUACUGGGCUCGAAUGUAUGACCGGAG